rnacentral:rRNA from 1 species
UGGAGAGUUUGAUCCUGGCUCAGGACGAGACGCUGGCGGCGUGCUUAACACAUGCAAGUCGAACGGUGAAGCUUGGAGCUUGCUUCGAGUGGAUCAGUGGCGAACGGGUGAGUAACACGUGAGCAACCUGCCCCAGACUCUGGAAUAAGCGCUGGAAACGGCGUCUAAUACUGGAUAUGUGACGGACCUGCAUGGGUACCGUCUGGAAAGUUUUUCGGUUUGGGAUGGGCUCGCGGCCUAUCAGCUUGUUGGUGAGGUAAUGGCUCACCAAGGCGACGACGGGUAGCCGGCCUGAGAGGGCGACCGGCCACACUGGGACUGAGACACGGCCCAGACUCCUACGGGAGGCAGCAGUGGGGAAUAUUGCACAAUGGGCGAAAGCCUGAUGCAGCGACGCCGCGUGAGGGAUGACGGCCUUCGGGUUGUAAACCUCUUUCAGCAGGGAAGAAGCGAAAGUGACGGUACCUGCAGAAGAAGCACCGGCUAACUACGUGCCAGCAGCCGCGGUA